rnacentral:rRNA from 1 species
GGUUAAGUGACUAAGCGUACACGGUGGAUGCCUUGGCAGUCAGAGGCGAUGAAAGACGUAGUAACUUGCGAUAAGCCCAGAUUAGGUAGUAACAACCAUUUGAGUCUGGGAUUUCUGAAUGGGGAAACCCACUUACAUAAGUAAGUAUCAUUAACUGAAUACAUAGGUUAAUGAGGCGAACCGGGGGAACUGAAACAUCUAAGUACCCCGAGGAAAAGAAAUCAACCGAGAUUCCGAAAGUAGCGGCGAGCGAAAUUGGACUAGCCCUUAAGCUUUACACGCGUUAGACGAACGGUCUGGAAAGUCCGACGAUACAGGGUGAUAGUCCCGUAGUUGACGACGUGUGUUCAGUGAAAUCGAGUAGGGCGGGACACGUGAUAUCCUGUCUGAAUAUGGGGGGACCAUCCUCCAAGGCUAAAUACUACUGACUGACCGAUAGUGAACCAGUACCGUGAGGGAAAGGCGAAAAGAACCCCUGUGAGGGGAGUGAAAUAGAACCUGAAACCGUGUACGUACAAGCAGUAGGAGCAGGCUUUGUCCUGUGACUGCGUACCUUUUGUAUAAUGGGUCAGCGACUUAUAUUCAGUGGCAAGGUUAACCAUCUAGGGGAGCCGUAGGGAAACCGAGUCUUAACUGGGCGUUCAGUCUCUGGAUAUAGACCCGAAACCAGGUGAUCUAGCCAUGGGCAGGUUGAAGGUUGAGUAACAUCAACUGGAGGACCGAACCGACUAAUGUUGAAAAAUUAGCGGAUGACUUGUGGCUAGGGGUGAAAGGCCAAUCAAACCUGGAGAUAGCUGGUUCUCCCCGAAAGCUAUUUAGGUAGCGCCUCGGACGAAUACUACUGGGGGUAGAGCACUGUUAAGGCUAGGGGGUCAUCCCGACUUACCAACCCUUUGCAAACUCCGAAUACCAGUAAGUACUAUCCGGGAGACACACGGCGGGUGCUAACGUCCGUCGUGGAGAGGGAAACAACCCAGACCGCCAGCUAAGGUCCCAAAUUACUACUAAGUGGGAAACGAUGUGGGAAGGCUCAGACAGCCAGGAUGUUGGCUUAGAAGCAGCCAUCAUUUAAAGAAAGCGUAAUAGCUCACUGGUCGAGUCGGCCUGCGCGGAAGAUGUAACGGGGCUAAGUAGUAAACCGAAGCUGCGGCAAUGUGCUUUUGCACAUUGGGUAGGGGAGCGUUCUGUAAGCGGUUGAAGGUGUGUGGUAACGCAUGCUGGACGUAUCAGAAGUGCGAAUGCUGACAUGAGUAACGAUAAAGGGGGUGAAAAACCUCCUCGCCGGAAGACCAAGGGUUCCUGUCCAACGUUAAUCGGGGCAGGGUAAGUCGACCCCUAAGGCGAGGCCGAAAGGCGUAGUCGAUGGGAAACGGGUUAAUAUUCCCGUACUUCUUACAAUUGCGAUGGGGGGACGGAGAAGGCUAGGUGGGCCUGGCGACGGUUGUCCAGGUUCAAGUGCGUAGGCUUAAGAGUUAGGUAAAUCCGGCUCUUUUUAAGGCUGAGACACGACGUCGAGCACCUACGGGUGUGAAGUCAUUGAUGCCAUGCUUCCAGGAAAAGCCUCUAAGCUUCAGAUUGUAAGGAAUCGUACCCCAAACCGACACAGGUGGUCGGGUAGAGAAUACCAAGGCGCUUGAGAGAACUCGGGUGAAGGAACUAGGCAAAAUGGUACCGUAACUUCGGGAGAAGGUACGCUCUCGACGGUGAAGUCCCUCGCGGAUGGAGCUAUUGAGAGUCGCAGAUACCAGGUGGCUGCAACUGUUUAUUAAAAACACAGCACUGUGCAAAAUCGUAAGAUGACGUAUACGGUGUGACGCCUGCCCGGUGCCGGAAGGUUAAUUGAUGGGGUUAGACUUCGGUCGAAGCUCUUGAUCGAAGCCCCGGUAAACGGCGGCCGUAACUAUAACGGUCCUAAGGUAGCGAAAUUCCUUGUCGGGUAAGUUCCGACCUGCACGAAUGGCGUAAUGAUGGCCACGCUGUCUCCACCCGAGACUCAGUGAAAUUGAAAUCGCUGUGAAGAUGCAGUGUACCCGCGGCUAGACGGAAAGACCCCGUGAACCUUUACUACAGCUUGGCACUGAACAUUGACCCUACAUGUGUAGGAUAGGUGGGAGGCUUUGAAGCACGUACGCCAGUAUCUGUGGAGCCGUCCUUGAAAUACCACCCUUGUAGUGUUGAUGUUCUAACGUCGACCCCUUAUCGGGGUUGCGGACAGUGCCUGGUGGGUAGUUUGACUGGGGCGGUCUCCUCCCAAAGAGUAACGGAGGAGCACGAAGGUGGGCUAAUCACGGUUGGACAUCGUGAGGUUAGUGCAAUGGCAUAAGCCCGCUUGACUGCGAGAAUGACAAUUCGAGCAGGUGCGAAAGCAGGUCAUAGUGAUCCGGUGGUUCUGAAUGGAAGGGCCAUCGCUCAACGGAUAAAAGGUACUCCGGGGAUAACAGGCUGAUACCGCCCAAGAGUUCAUAUCGACGGCGGUGUUUGGCACCUCGAUGUCGGCUCAUCACAUCCUGGGGCUGAAGUCGGUCCCAAGGGUAUGGCUGUUCGCCAUUUAAAGUGGUACGCGAGCUGGGUUUAGAACGUCGUGAGACAGUUCGGUCCCUAUCUGCCGUGGGCGUUGGAAGAUUGAAGGGGGCUGCUCCUAGUACGAGAGGACCGGAGUGGACGAACCUCUGGUGUUCGGGUUGUGUCGCCAGACGCAUUGCCCGGUAGCUAAGUUCGGAAUCGAUAACCGCUGAAAGCAUCUAAGCGGGAAGCGAGCCCUGAGAUGAGUCUUCCCUGAUACUUUAAGUAUCCUAAAGGGUUGUCGGAGACUACGACGUUGAUAGGUCAGGUGUGUAAGUGCUGUGAGGCAUUGAGCUAACUGAUACUAAUUGCCCGUGAGGCUUAACCAU